UCUGUUUGAUCCUGGCUCAGGAUGAACGCUGGCGGCGUGCCUAAUACAUGCAAGUUGAACGGUUUGUUGCCUUCGGGCAACGAAUAGUAGCGAACGGGUGAGUAACACGUAGGUAACCUGGCCUUUAGAGGGGGAUAACUGUAGGAAACUGCAGCUAAGACCGCAUAAAGAGGACAAGGCAUCUUGUCAAGAAGAAAUAUACUGCAAGGUAUAGCUAAAGGAUGGGCCUGCGGUGCAUUAGCUAGUUGGUGAGAAAAAAGCCCACCAAGGUAAUGAUGCAUAGCCGAUCUGAGAGGAUGACCGGCCACACUGGAACUGAGACACGGUCCAGACUCCUACGGGAGGCAGCAGUAGGGAAUUUUCGGCAAUGGGGGGAACCCUGACCGAGCAACGCCGCGUGAAUGAAGAAGGCCUUCGGGUUGUAAAAUUUUGUUGUUGAGGAAGAAAGGGCAUUAUAGGAAAUGAUGAUGCAUUGACAGUACUUAACGAGGAAGCCACGGCUAACUACGUGCCAGCAGCCGCGGUAAUACGUAGGUGGCAAGCGUUAUCCGGAAUUACUGGGUGUAAAGGGAGCGCAGGCGGGAUAGCAAGUCAGCUGUGAAAACUAUGGGCUCAACCCAUAAACUGCAGUUGAAACUGUUAUUCUUGAGUGGAGUAGAGGCAAGCGGAAUUCCGAGUGUAGCGGUGAAAUGCGUAGAUAUUCGGAGGAACACCAGUGGCGAAGGCGGCUUGCUGGGCUUUAACUGACGCUGAGGCUCGAAAGUGUGGGGAGCAAACAGGAUUAGAUACCCUGGUAGUCCACACUGUAAACGAUGAUUACUAGGUGUUGGAGGAUUGACCCCUUCAGUGCCGCAGUU
rnacentral:rRNA from 1 species